AAUAAAUGGUCAGUACCAAAACCGACCUCAACGUAAUUAUAAUUUAAGAAAAAACUACAUGAACUUCUUAAAACGUACAUAAAUCUACAUUGACUUUGACAUAAGUUAGUCAACCGUUAACGAGAUAAGACGACGUCGUUUUGAUAUAUAUAUAUAUAUAUAUAUAUCUAUUUUUUUUUUUUUUAAAUAUGUUCAUUCCGGGACUCAAACCAUGAUGUGAUACCCUUUUAAAUGGGCACACUAACAACUAAAUAAAAGUACCUUUUCAAAAUACUAUUACAAAUUUGAAAUUAUAUAAACUACUAUUAUUCUUCAUUUUAUCCUAUUUAAAAUUUUGGUGACAAUUUUUUCUGAUUUAUAUAAAUACAUUAACAUGUUUUUUAUUUAUCAUAUCUUUAAUAAACUUAUAUCUUACUAAAAUAUAAAUAAUAAAAUAUUUAUUAUUACCUAAUCAUAUCUUUGAAUUUAUUUAUACAAUUUUCUUAUAUAAAUUAUUUUUAAUUUUUCAACUUAAGUGGAAUUUUUUAAUUUUUCAAAGUUAAUAUUAUAUAUUUUGAUAUUUUGUUCAAAAAUAUUAAGAGGCCUUUUA
rnacentral:lncRNA from 1 species